rnacentral:rRNA from 1 species
GAUCAUGGCUCAGGAUAAACGCUAGCGGCAGGCCUAACACAUGCAAGUCGAGGGGCAGCGGGUGGAGUAUUUCGGUACUCCUGCCGGCGACCGGCGCACGGGUGCGUAACGCGUAUGCAACCUACCUUUAACAGGGGGAUAAUCCGAAGAAAUUUGGUCUAAUACCCCAUAAUAUCAUUUAAGGCAUCUUAGAUGGUUGAAAAUUCCGAUGGUUAGAGAUGGGCAUGCGUUGUAUUAGCUAGUUGGUGAGG